rnacentral:rRNA from 1 species
UACGUAGGGUGCGAGCGUUAAUCGGAAUUACUGGGCGUAAAGCGUGCGUAGGCGGUUCGCUGUGUCCGAUGUGAAAGCCCCGGGCUUAACCUGGGAAUGGCAUUGGAAACUGGCGGGCUUGAGUGCGGCAGAGGGGGGUGGAAUUCCGCGUGUAGCAGUGAAAUGCGUAGAGAUGCGGAGGAACAUCAGUGGCGAAGGCGACUUCCUGGACAGAUACUGACACUGAGGCACGAAAGCGUGGGGAGCAAACAGG